AACACAGUUACCUGGGGAUCUUGUUAAAAUGCAGAUUCUGAUUCAGGAGCUUUGAGGUGAGGCUUAAGAGUCUGCAUUUGUCAAGCUCCCAGGUGAUGUUGGU
rnacentral:pre_miRNA from 1 species